GUGUUAGUUGGAAGAUAGGAUGAGUUCCGAAUGACUCUUGUAUAUUACCCACAAAUGCUUUAAAAUGGCUAUCAGUUGAAACUAAUGUAGGCAUUCUCAGAAUAGCUCCAUUAUAUACUUAUCACCACUGGGAUUCCGCCACUAGCACUAUGCAGAAUUCGGGGAUUCCCGCAAAAGAGCUUGACGCUGUCGCGGGGGAUUCCCCAUACCAUACUCGCGAUCUUUUAAUAAAUGAUCUAAGUACAAGUGUAUAAGUGUAUGUUCUUUAUCACAUAAUUUUUUUUUAUUUUACUUUCGAUGGGGUGCCACCCAAGGUAGCUACGCCACUGCCAACUAUUCACAAGAUUAUAAUACUUACAAAACAGCUUGAUGAAGAAUACAGUGCACAACAGCAACUUCAUCAGGUUCUAUGAGACAGUGAUCCACUAUAUCAAUUAUCUAACAUGAUCAAAAUCUAAUGAAUUAUUAUAAGUUCUUUACUAUUAAAUUAGCUUUUUUAUAUGGUUAAUUGAUACAAACCUCAUCCAUAUGU